CCCAGACACCCUCGUCGCCCGCACCAGGUCCGGCGGCUCCGGGGAUGGCGACUCCCAGGCAUGUUUUCACUAUAUAUUCCUGAACGGACGAGAACUUUCUAUGUAGACCAAGAUGGCCUCACAGAGAUCUGCUUAAAGUGCCUCUGAACCACUUCAAGUCCCUUUUUAAAACUAACUCCAGCCGAGCCCGAGGUUUGCUUAUGUGAACUUCAAGGCAUGGAAGAUUCUUUGUUUUAUGUCACAGAAAACAUUUCUGAGAUUACUUUCAAUUCAUGGUG